GCGAGUGAAGCGGGAAGAGCUCAAAUUUGUAAUCUGGCACUUUCAGUGUCCGAGUUGUAAUCUCGAGAAGUGUUUUCCGCGCUGGACCGCAUACAAGUCUGUUGGAAUACAGCGUCAUAGUGGUGAGAACCCCGUAACUGAUGCGGAUGCCCAGUGCUUUGUGAUACACUUUCGAAGAGUCGAGUUGUUUGGGAAUGCAGCUCAAAUUGGGUGGUAAAUUCCAUCUAAAGCUAAAUAUUGGCGAGAGACCGAUAGCGAACAAGUACCGUGAGGGAAAGAUGAAAAGCACCUUGGAAAGGGAGUUAACAGUACGUGAAAUUGUUGGAAGGGAAACGCUUGAAGUCAGACUUGCUAUGUGGAUUUAUUCGCUUCGCAGGCCAGCAUCAGUUUCUGGGGGUGGAAAAGGGUUUGGAGAAGGUAGCAACUCCGGUUGUGUUAUAGCUCCUUGCUGGAUUCAUCUUUGGGGACUGAGGAACGCAGCGCGCUUUUUGCAAGGCUCUCGAGCUUUUCGCGCUUAGGAUGCUGGUGGAAUGGCUUUAAACGACCC
rnacentral:rRNA from 1 species